UACGGAGUGUGCAAGCGUUGUCCGGAUUUAUUGGGUUUAAAGGGUGCGUAGGCGGCCCGGUAAGUCAGUGGUGAAAGCCUCCAGCUCAACUGGAGAACUGCCAUUGAUACUGCCGGGCUUGAGUACAGACGAGGUUGGCGGAAUUGAUUGUGUAGCGGUGAAAUGCAUAGAUACAAUCAAGAACUCCGAUUGCGUAGGCAGCUAACUAGGCUGUAACUGACGCUGAGGCACGAAAGCGUGGGGAGCGAACAGG
rnacentral:rRNA from 1 species